rnacentral:rRNA from 1 species
CAACGAUCUGGGCACUGUCUCAACGAGAGACUCGGUGAAAUUAUAGUACCUGUGAAGAUGCAGGUUACCCGCGACAGGACGGAAAGACCCCGUGGAGCUUUACUGCAACCUGAUAUGGAAUGUUUGUACCGCUUGUACAGGAUAGGUAGGAGCCGAAGAGACGUGUGCGCUAGCAUACGAGGAGGCAAUGGUGGGAUACUACCCUGGCUGUAUGACCAUUCUAACCCGCCACGCUUAGCGCGUGGGGAGACAGUGUCAGGUGGGCAGUUUGACUGGGGCGGUCGCCUCCUAAAGAGUAACGGAGGCGCCCAAAGGUUCCCUCAGAAUGGAUGGAAAUCAUUCGCAGAGUGUAAAGGCACAAGGGAGCUUGACUGCGAGACUGACAAGUCGAGCAGGGACGAAAGUCGGGCUUAGUGAUCCGGUGGUUCCGCAUGGAAGGGCCAUCGCUCAACGGAUAAAAGCUACCCCGGGGAUAACAGGCUUAUCUCCCCCAAGAGUCCACAUCGACGGGGAGGUUUGGCACCUCGAUGUCGGCUCGUCGCAUCCUGGGGCUGUAGUCGGUCCCAAGGGUUGGGCUGUUCGCCCAUUAAAGCGGCACGCGAGCUGGGUUCAGAACGUCGUGAGACAGUUCGGUCCCUAUCCGUCGCGGGCGCAGGAAAUUUGAGAGGAGCUGUCCUUAGUACGAGAGGACCGGGAUGGACACACCGCUGGUGUACCAGUUGUUCCGCCAGGAGCAUCGCUGGGUAGCUAUGUGUGGCAGGGAUAAACGCUGAAAGCAUCUAAGCGUGAAGCCCCCCUCAAGAUGAGAUUUCCCAUUUCUUCGGAAAGUAAGAUCCCUGAAAGAUGAUCAGGUAGAUAGGUUUGGAGUGGAAGUGUAGCGAUACAUGGAGCGGACAAAUACUAAUCGAUCGAGGACUUAACCAAAA